GUAGGAAUCUAUAAUUAUUUCAGAAAUAACAUGUUACACAGUGUGAUUUAGUCAUACUUUGACACACCUCUGUCUGCCAAGAAAUAGGCAGGCACUACCUUAUAAAGCUGUUGCUGAGAGCAAUCCUUCAGGCUCAGGGAGCACAAAGCUGCUUCAUUGUAUGGAUAGCUGCAGGAGUCAGCAGCAGGGUUUGGGGCUGGGGCCUGCAGAGACCUUAAAGCACGCAAAUCUGUUGCCUGAAUUAGAGGUUGUGCUCCUGCCUAGGGGAUGUAUCCCCACGCAGAAAUAGCUCAGGACAUAAGCUGGUAAAUUUAAGACUGUUUGGAAAGUGAUUUUAUUUCCAUUUCCAGCCUUUAAAAAGCAUCCUUGUCGCUCUUGUGAGCCUUUUGGAACAUUCACCAUCAACCAGUUCUUUCCUAGUAUGAGACAGCUGCAUUUUGAAGAUAAUAGCUGUUGGAAACAGAAAGACAAAAACCAAGCAUGCUGAGUCAGAUGCGGGUCACUGUCUCCUGAAAUGCAGCUGUCAGGAGCUGGAUGCCUCUGAGAGUGGAAGCAUUGAGUCUGAAAUGCUCUAUUGAGUGCAGCAGAGGAACCUGGCCUGAUGUGCAGCAGUGGGGAGAGGCCAGGUGCAGUAAGGCAGCAUUUGUGCCUGUGGAGCCAAGCCCGGAGUGACAGCCAGCCUUGCCUCUGGGAGCUCACGGCUCAGAGAUGUGAGGAGGAAGCACUUUGCCCUUCCUCACUGUAGGAGGAAACACUGGAGUCAAUUGCUCUGUUACACACAGCAGAGUCACUAAAUCAGAAUGUACAGCUUUUGCCCUGUAACUGUUCUGGCACCACUCAUGCUGGUAGUGUUGAUCAAGCUUGCUCCCGUUUUCCACUUCUCCCCCAGAAGGCCUUAACAUCACCAGGGCACCUUGGCCCGGGGUGAAAACUUGUCCCAUCCACUGAGGUAGUAAAAAAGAAUAAUCAAGAGUGGGAAACAGUCUGAUAUUCUUCUGUUUCUGCUUGAGUACUCCUUGAGGAAGAUCCUUUAGAUCCUGCUGAUACUUCCAAGCUGACCGUGAGUACACAGAGCUGAGGUCCAGCUGCUUAUCCCUUGGUGGUUUCCACCAGAGAAACUAUGAGAAAGGUGAUUUGGUGACGGUUCUAAAGUAAGUCAUUCAGUGGAAGGGACUAACCUUCCCAGUGGCACCUUAAUGUUGUAAAGACAAGUUGCUUCCUGAAAGAAGGCUGGGUUUCACAGGAGCAGUGUCAUGUUGGCACAAGCUUUGUGUUCUCAGCCUCUGCCAAACGCAAUGGUGUAUCACCUGGUCUGUGUCCUUGAAGUGUGCCUCCAACUGCUGCUGGUUUUUGUAGAAGUUUAGGCCGAUACACAGUCUGCAGAAUCAGGUUCUUUAAACCUAAAUUAACAUUCUGUUGAAGACUAAACAUAUGUUGUUUUUCUUCACUGUCAACAAUUUAGUUUCCAGGUUUGGAAAAGAAACAUUGCUGGGGAGGAAUCCAAUGAAUUUAUUAAUGAGCUGGGUAAGUACGGAACUAUUAAUAUCUCCUGAGAUCUUGUUUGUGUUAUUUUUGUCCUCAGCUUCAGACUCUGAAAUAAACAGAUGUUCUGAAGCCUUCCACUGAGAGUACUACUGUGUGUUAGGUCCUAUUUUAAAUACAUUGUGAUUACCAGGAUGUUGUAGGAAACGGGUAAAUAGCUGAGUACGAUGCUUCUGAAACAGUUUGUGCCAUUACCUGAAAUCUUUAUUUCAGAUUGCAGUGAUGACACAAAUAAGAAAAUAUCUGAAGUGCUUCUUAUAUGUAACUAAUGAUUUUUGUUUCUAGUCAUAAAUCUGAGUAGAGAAAUUGAAACAUUACUUUAUUCUACAGUGUUGUCAGUGCACGUUCAAACUCCUGUUCAUCAUUUUGUGGCAUGACUGACAAAACAGCCUGCCUGUCCUGGGCACAUACUGAACAGAUGAGUGCUUCCAUUCGUCUAAGAAGGUCUCUAUUUAUUUCUCAGUCUAUUCUGAUCAGAGAUACCACUUUGAGUCUCAAUGUAACUGACAUCUUUGGCAAUCCCACCGACACUGAAAUACUGAGGUCCUUUGCUCUCUAUCAUCUCAAGAAUUUGAGAAGGGCAUCAGAAAAUGGCUUGUUGUUUUCACAUGUUGGGAAGGGGAAGAAAUAUUUGACCUUGAAACUGAGUUCAACUGUCUGUAUCACUUAGAUGCUGCUCUAUCUUAACCCAGAUGUUAAAGGAGACUAACCAAUCACUUAUGCUAGUGGUCCUGAGGUGAAAUACAAAACAAAAGAUCCAUCUGCUUAUUGCAGGAAGAGGUCAGGCUGCUUGGCUAACACUUAACUCCCGUUUGUAUUCAGUCAUUACUGGUCCUAUUUAUAAUGAGGGAAAUUCAGCUCUAGAGAGAGCUGGAUAUGAGGCCUCUGAAGUCAGUGGUGAGCCUUACCCUGAGUCUGAUGCCUCAGC
ensembl:lncRNA